AUGAGGCCUAUUAAGCGUGUUGCUUUUGAAGGGCCUAUAACAGGAAGGCGUUUCUAUGGCUGCCCAGUCCAGGAAAAUGGUGUGAAUUGUGGUGUUGUAGAGUGGGUUGAUGGGCCUUGGCCUCCUGUUCUUCAGAGAUGUUUGUGCAAGCUAUGGGAAAUGUUCCAUGAGCAGAAAUAUGGAAGGGUACUUGACAAGGAGAAGUUUGAGAAGGAGUUGGCCAAGCUUAAGACUGAAAAUGACAAGCUUUGCAUUGAGUACACCAAGCUUGUAGAUGAUGUAUCCAAGAAGUUUGAUUGGCAGGAUGGUAGGGUGGAAAAGAAGGUGUACCUGAAACAAGUGGAGGAGGAAGAACUUGAGAAGAAGAUAUGGUACCAGACAUUUGGUCUAUGUAACAUUUGGAUGUUUCUGAAUCAAUGUACCAUAUUACAAACCAAAUCAAAUCCUACAGUAUCAAGUACUUAG
rnacentral:rRNA from 1 species